rnacentral:rRNA from 1 species
AACGUAGGUGGCAAGCGUUAUCCGGAUUCACUGGGCGUAAAGCGCAUGCAGGUGGCACAGUAAGUAGGGCAUGAAAACUCCUGGCUUAACCGGGAGAGGCUGUCCUAGACUGCUGAGCUUGAGGAUGGGAGAGGGAAGUGGAAUUGCCGGUGUAGUGGUGAAAUGCGUAGAGAUCGGCAGGAACACCCGUGGCGAAAGCGGCUUCCUGGCCCAUUCCUGACACUCAGAUGCGAAAGCUAGGGGAGCGAACGGG